rnacentral:RNase_P_RNA from 1 species
CCAGACGGCUGGAUGACCGCGCGCCGCGUUCUGCGGCGGGAGGAAAGUCCGGGCUCCACGGAAAUAGGGUGCCGGGUAACGCCCGGCGGGGGCGACCCCAGGGAUAGUGCCACAGAAAGCAAACCGCCCGCGCGGCCUUCGGCCCCGCGAGGUAAGGGUGAAAGGGUGCGGUAAGAGCGCACCGCGUAACCGGCAACGGAAGCGGCACGGUAAACCCCACCCGGAGCAAAACCGAAUAGGAAGGGCAGGCCCCCUGCGGGUACAGCGCAUUUCCGCGCCGCCCUUCGGGUUGGUUGCGAGAGGUGAUCGGCAACGGUCAUCCCAGAGGAAUGGUCAUCCACGGGCCGCAAGGCCCCGGACAGAACCCGGCUUACAGGCCGUCUGGCAUC